GUUGUUGUAGGUUAAAACUUGGAGCCUGGCAAACUCUGUUGGGACACUCCGGGGUCAGGUUCAUAUUCCCCAAAAUGAGUGAGCUUAUUACUGUCAAAGAAAAAAUGUAUCUCAUUGAGUGCUAUUAUUCCCGAGGAUAAAAUUACACAAAUGUGUAUAGAGGCUUUCGUAGUUAAUCCCCAAUAAAUUUUUUGAGUCAAUGUGUUCUUUUUUAUACGCCUCUGUCGCAUUGCUUGACGCGCCAUCAGGCGGCAGAAAAGUACGGCACAGAGGUGCGCAUCAGUUGGGCCCGCAUGACUUUGUGUAUGUAAUACGGCAUUUUUUAAUCGUUGAAAUGGAUAAAAUUGUGGGUUCUAACCGAAUGUGUAGCGUUGUCGGAUGUCACAAUACUAAAGCUAAGAAUCCAGAAUUAAAAUUUUAUCGAUUUCCGAGGAGAAAGUAUGAAAAAGAACGAAAGGAAAAAUGGAUUGCAGCUGUCAAACGCAUAAAUCCGGAUGGUACGCCUUGGAUUGCAAGCGCGGAGGCACGAUAUUUAUGGACGGAAACCACCGGAUGAACGGAGAGCUGCACGUUUGCAAAAUCGAAAUACCAACAAAUCAAUAAACAACCAAAUCAAUUGUUAUUUUCUUAAGAUGCCUACCUCCACUUUGACAUUAUACUUAUCCUAAUUAACUUUGACUUGAGAUCGCACACUACCAUAAAUGGUUCGAUUUUUUCCAUCAAUUUCUUCUCGAACAUCUCCCACAAAAAGACUUUUGAAAAGUCCUUUACCUGCUUUAAAUAAGUAACGAAACCUUAGAUAAUUUUGAAUAUUCAUCAAUGGAUUUACCUAUUUAUGUUUUCAACAUAUAAGAUCUACGAAACAUUGACAAAAAUAUUCGGGAUAAUGUUAUUUAAUAAUGAAUACCCAAAUAAAAAUAACUCACCCUUUGAGAGUGAUUUUUUGCGUAAA